UGCCUGGGUCUCUGGCCCACGCGU
rnacentral:miRNA from 1 species